AAGAGCCUUGACUUCCCUUGUUUUCCCCCCUUGCGCCCAACGUGCGUCCGCUCCCGCGCCGAGCGCGGAGUCGCCUCAGUUGCCCAGGCCUCUAUCUGCAUGGAGGGCCGGGCCGCCGUGGCCAGAUCUGCGCACGGGGUACGGACGUGCCCGGGCAGAUGGGGGCCUACGGGGUGACACCGAGGCCGGGACAGCUUCAGGGGCCCCAGAAGGACCUGACCCAGAAAUUGAGGUCCCCGCUGCCUUCUGAGGAGGGGGAGGAGUUGCUCCUAGGUCUGAACCCCGCCAGCCUUGCCCCGUAGGAAGCUGGAGUGCGGGCCUCGUCCACCCACAGACCCCGGGGAGCUCAGGGAAAAGGGUGCUUCGGUCGUUCCGAUGGCAGUGGAGACCACGGUCCACACUCACCUCUCUGCGUCUCCACCGCAGGGCUCUCCCUACGACCACACACCCGGCAUGGCGGGCUCCCUGGGGUACCAUCCUUACGCGGCACCCCUGGGAUCGUACCCUUACGGGGACCCAGCGUACCGGAAGAACGCCACAAGGGACGCCACGGCUACGCUCAAGGCCUGGCUCAACGAGCACCGCAAGAACCCCUACCCCACCAAGGGCGAGAAGAUCAUGCUGGCCAUCAUCACCAAGAUGACCCUCACCCAGGUGUCCACCUGGUUCGCCAACGCGCGCCGGCGCCUCAAGAAAGAGAAUAAAAUGACGUGGACGCCGCGGAACCGCAGCGAGGACGAGGAAGAGGAGGAGAACAUUGACCUGGAGAAGAACGACGAGGACGAGCCCCAGAAGCCCGAGGACAAGGGCGACCCCGAGGGCCCCGAAGCAGGAGGAGCUGAGCAGAAGGCGGCUUCGGGCUGCGAACGGCUUCAGGGACCACCCACCCCUGCAGGCAAGGAGACGGAGGGCAGCCUCAGCGACUCGGAUUUUAAGGAGCCGCCCUCGGAGGGCCGCCUCGACGCGCUGCAGGGCCCCCCCCGCACCGGCGGGCCCUCCCCGGCUGGGCCAGCGGCGGCGCGGCUGGCGGAGGACCCGGCCCCUCACUACCCCGCCGGAGCGCCGGCGCCCGGCCCGCAUCCAGCCGCGGGAGAGCUGCCCCCGGGUCCCGGCGGGCCCUCGGUUAUCCAUUCGCCGCCUCCGCCGCCGCCUCCUGCGGUGCUCGCCAAGCCCAAACUGUGGUCUUUGGCAGAGAUCGCCACAUCGUCGGACAAGGUCAAGGACGGGGGCGGCGGGAGCGAGGGCUCUCCAUGCCCACCGUGUCCCGGGCCCAUAGCCGGGCAAGCCCUAGGAGGCAGCCGUGCGUCGCCGGCCCCGGCGCCGUCACGCUCGCCCUCGGCGCAGUGUCCUUUUCCAGGCGGGACGGUGCUGUCCCGGCCUCUCUACUACACCGCGCCCUUCUAUCCCGGCUACACGAACUAUGGCUCCUUCGGACACCUUCAUGGCCACCCGGGGCCCGGGCCAGGCCCCACAACCGGUCCGGGGUCUCAUUUCAAUGGAUUAAACCAGACCGUGUUGAACCGAGCGGACGCUUUGGCUAAAGACCCGAAAAUGUUGCGGAGCCAGUCUCAGCUAGACCUGUGCAAAGACUCUCCCUAUGAAUUGAAGAAAGGUAUGUCCGACAUUUAACGCGGGCUGCGUCGGUCCCGGACUUUUCUAAUUUAUUAAAAACAUGGCCUUGGCAGUUAUUUUUCCAUCACCGAGAGAGAGAGACAGAGAGAGAAAAUAAACUACCCCUCCUAUUCAGAAGUUUAUAGUUUAUGGAGAUGGAUGACAUAAAAAUGUAAACAUCUCCACACACACACAAAAAUGUCUUAACCAACCG
rnacentral:sRNA from 1 species